rnacentral:rRNA from 1 species
UACAGAGGGUGCGAGCGUUGUCCGGAAUCACUGGGCGUAAAGGGCGCGUAGGUGGCCUGUGGAAGUCUGCGGUGAAAGCCCGGCGCUCAACGCCGGGUCGGCCGUGGAUACUCUCGGGCUUGAGCUUACUAGAGGCAGAUGGAAUUCCGGGUGUAGCGGUGGAAUGCGUAGAGAUCCGGAAGAACACCGGUGGCGAAGGGCGGUCUGCUGGGGUAAUGCUGACACUGAUGCGCGACAGCGUGGGGAGCAACAGG